AUGCAGUUAUACAAAUUAGCUGGUUCCUCUCGGAGGGCCUACAGCAACUUCGGCGGUGGCAAAGGGUUCUACAUUCCACAGCAGCACUGGUAGCCAUGGUUCUCGUAGCCAGAAGGAGCUGCCCACAAAAUCCCCCUAUAUAGCCUAUGUAGGAAAUCUACCUUUUAAUACGGCUCAGAGAAACAUACAUGCUAUCUUUAAGGAUCUCAGCAUAAGUAGUAUACGGCUAAUCAGAAACAAAGACACAGACAAAUUUAAAGGAUUCUGCUAUAUAGAGUUUGAUGAGGUGGAUUCCCUAAAGGAAGCUUUGAUGUACGAUAGUGCACUGUUGGGUGAUCGGUCACUUUGUGUGGACAUUGCAGAAGGCAGAAAACAAGAUAAAGGUGGCUUUAGAGUCAGGAAAGGUGGACCAGAUGACAGAGGAAUGGGUGGCUCUUGCAAAUCCAGAGGUGCCUGGGAUUCCUGGGAUGACUUAAAUUAUGGCUUCAGAGACUUAGGAGGCAUGGGAGGUAGUCGCUCUGGUAACCAGCGAACAGGCCCUCCAAUGGGAAGUCGCUUUCGAGACAACCCUUCACUUCGUGGAUCAAUAUGGAUUUUAGAGAAUCAAAACAAGAGGAAAGAGCACAGAGACCACAACUCCAGCUUAAACCCCAAACAGUCACCACACCCCUCAACCAACUAGCCAAUCCCAACUCAGCUAUCUUCAGGCAAGCCAGGCCCAGAGAGGAAGUCAUUCACAAAGAGCAGGUAUGA